AGAGUUUGAUUCUGGCUCAGGACGAACGCUGGCGGCGUGCUUAACACAUGCAAGUCGAACGGGGUGUUUAUUUCGGUAAACACCAAGUGGCGAACGGGUGAGUAACGCGUAAGCAAUCUACCUUCAAGAUGGGGACAACACUUCGAAAGGGGUGCUAAUACCGAAUGAAUGUAAGAGUCUCGCAUGAGACCUUUACUAAAGGAGGCCUAGUCAAUGCUUCCGCUUGAAGAUGAGCUUGCGUCUGAUUAGCUAGUUGGUGAGGGUAAAGGCCCACCAAGGCGACGAUCAGUAGCCGGUCUGAGAGGAUGAACGGCCACAUUGGGACUGAGACACGGCCCAG
rnacentral:rRNA from 1 species